UAUCAGACUUGUUGCAAGGUUGUUCCAACAAGUCCGAUACAGCCAUCUUUUAACAAUAUUGUUACAACCUUGUGUCAUCAACCUUGUAACAUUCUUGUUAUAUCAUGACUGUAUCAGACUUGUCAGAACAACCUUGUAACAAGUCUGAUA